GAUGAACGCUAGCGGGAGGCCUAACACAUGCAAGCCGAGCGGUAUUGUUUCUUCGGAAAUGAGAGAGCGGCGUACGGGUGCGGAACACGUGUGCAACCUGCCUUUAUCUGGGGGAUAGCCUUUCGAAAGGAAGAUUAAUACUCCAUAACAUAUUGAUUGGCAUCAAUUAAUAUUGAAAGCUCCGGCGGAUAGAGAUGGGCACGCGCAAGAUUAGCUAGUUGGUGAGGUAACGGCUCACCAAGGCGAUGAUCUUAGGGGGCCUGAGAGGGUGAUCCCCCACACUGGUACUGAGACACGGACCAGACUCCUACGGGAGGCAGCAGUGAGGAAUAUUGGUCAAUGGGUGCAAGCCUGAACCAGCCAUCCCGCGUGAAGGACGACUGCCCUAUGGGUUGUAAACUUCUUUUGUAUAGGGAUAAACCUACCCUCGUGAGGGUAGCUGAAGGUACUAUACGAAUAAGCACCGGCUAACUCCGUGCCAGCCGCCGCGGUAAGAC
rnacentral:rRNA from 1 species